rnacentral:misc_RNA from 1 species
GAUGAAGAACGUAGCGAAAUGCGAUACGUAAUGUGAAUUGCAGAAUUCAGUGAAUCAUCGAGUCUUUGAACGCACAUUGCGCCCCCUGUAUUCCGGGGGGCAUGCCUGUCCGAGCGUCAUUGCUGCCCUCAAGCACGGCUUGUGUGUUGGGCCUCCGUCCUCCUCCCGGGGGACGGGCCCGAAAGGCAGCGGCGGCACCGCGUCCGGUCCUCGAGCGUAUGGGGCUUCGUCACCCGCUCUUGUAGGCCCGGCCGGCGCUUGCCGACACAUCAAUCUUUUUUCCAGGUUGACCUCGGAUCAGGUAGGGAUACCCGCUGAACUUAAGCAUAUCAAUAAGCGGAGGA